UUUGGCAUUUUAAUAGAUCGAUCGGCAAGUUGAAGGGUCAUAUUGGUGGUCUUGAGAUCCCCUAAUCCUAGGGCUUGGUAGACCGAGAACGGAAGAAGAUUCACACUCGCUCCUAAAUCAAGUAAAGCCUUAUCCAUGAAAGUAUUACCUAUGACACAAGAAAUUGUAGGACAACCGGGGUCCUUAUAUUUCACAGGAAUUUGAUUCG
rnacentral:lncRNA from 1 species